UACGAAGGGGGCUAGCGUUGCUCGGAAUCACUGGGCGUAAAGCGCACGUAGGCGGCUUUUUAAGUCAGGGGUGAAAUCCUGGAGCUCAACUCCAGAACUGCCUUUGAUACUGAGAAGCUUGAGUCCGGGAGAGGUGAGUGGAACUGCGAGUGUAGAGGUGAAAUUCGUAGAUAUUCGCAAGAACACCAGUGGCGAAGGCGGCUCACUGGCCCGGUACUGACGCUGAGGUGCGAAAGCUAGGGGAGCAAACGGG
rnacentral:rRNA from 1 species